ACCUGGCUGGCUCAGUGGGUGGAGCGUGCGACUCCUGAUCGCAGGAUUGUGAAUUUGACCCCCAUGUUGGGUG
rnacentral:tRNA from 1 species